rnacentral:rRNA from 1 species
CCUACGGGAGGCAGCAGUGGGGAAUAUUGCGCAAUGGGCGAAAGCCUGACGCAGCCACGCCGCGUGAGUGAUGAAGGCCUUCGGGUUGUAAAGCUCUGUCGGGAGGGAAGAAGGGGAAACCCUGACGGUACCUCGCAAGAAAGCACCGGCUAACUCUGUGCCAGCAGCCGCGGUAAUACAGAGGGUGCAAGCGUUGCUCGGAUUUACUGGGCGUAAAGCGUACGCAGACGGUUUGGUAGGUCGGGCGUGAAAGCCCUGGGCUCAACCCAGGAAAUGCGCUCGAAACCGCCUCACUCGAGUAUAGGAGAGGAAAGCGGAAUUCCCGGUGUAGAGGUGAAAUUCGUAGAUAUCGGGAGGAACACCAGCGGCGAAGGCGGCUUUCUGGCCUAUUACUGACGUUCAGGUACGAAAGCGUGGGUAGCAAACAGGAUUAGAUACCCUGGUAGUCCACGCUGUAAACGAUGAGUGCUGGAUGUCGGGGGUAGUUCACCCCCUCCGGUAUCGAAGCUAACGCGUUAAGCACUCCGCCUGGGAGUACGGCCGCAGGUUGAAACGUCAAAGGAAAUUAGACGG